UUGCUCUCUUUGGCAGCACCUAUAGUAAAAUCGAACGAUACAAAGAGGAUUAGGACGGCCCCUGUGGAGGGACGGCAUGCAAAUUCACGAAACCUUCCUCCUCCUG